CGAUCGACAUAUACUGAGAAGCUAAGCAAUCGGACUUUCUAUCAUUAUGAGAGGCCAACCAUCAAGAGGUUAGACAGGAGCUUCGAGCAUUUUUCUCACAACAGAGAUUGCAAUGAUCUCCAUGUGCUAUGUGACUAGACGAAGUGAAGAAUGGUGGAAUGGUGACUAGACAGUGAUGAGAUGUUUGGAUGAUCAUUUGUAUUUGUAACUCAAGGAUUUACGUAGUUUCUGUU